rnacentral:rRNA from 1 species
CAGUAGCCGCGGUAAUACAGAGGGUGCAAGCGUUAAUCGGAAUUACUGGGCGUAAAGCGCGCGUAGGUGGUUUGUUAAGUUGGAUGUGAAAGCCCCGGGCUCAACCUGGGAACUGCAUCCAAAACUGGCAAGCUAGAGUACGGUAGAGGGUGGUGGAAUUUCCUGUGUAGCGGUGAAAUGCGUAGAUAUAGGAAGGAACACCAGUGGCGAAGGCGACCACCUGGACUGAUACUGACACUGAGGUGCGAAAGCGUGGGGAGCAAACAGGAUUAGAUACCCGAGUAGUCCCUGUCUCUUAUAC